GUGCACUUCAACAGCACAGAUACUAAAAUUGGAAUGACAUAGAGAAAAUUAGCGUGGCCCCUGUUCAAGGAUGACAUGCAAAUUUGUGAAGCAUGCCAUAUAUUU